ACUCCUACGGGAGGCAGCAGUGGGGAAUAUUGCACAAUGGGGGAAACCCUGAUGCAGCCAUGCCGCGUGUGUGAAGAAGGCCUUCGGGUUGUAAAGCACUUUCAGUAGGGAGGAAGGUAGUGUAGUUAACACCUGCAUUAUUUGUACGUUACCUACAGAAGAAGCACCGGCUAACUCCGUGCCAGCAGCCGCGGUAAGUACGGAGGGUGCGAGCGUUAAUCGGAAUUACUGGGCGUAAAGCGCAUGCAGGCGGCUUGUUAAGUCAGAUGUGAAACGCCCGGGGCUUAACCUCGGAAUUGCAUUUGAAACUGGCAGGCUAGAGUCGUUGUAGAGGGGUUAGAAUUUCGAGGUGUAGCGUGAAAUGCGUAGAGAUCUAGAAGGAAUACCGAGUGGCGAACGGCGG
rnacentral:rRNA from 1 species